rnacentral:tRNA from 1 species
UACAUGUUAAUGUAGAGCGCAUAAAAGAUUUUGAUUCUUUAAGGUUUGGUGCAACCCCAAAACAUGUAA